UUCUGUUCCUCCUACCUUGGAACACCUGGGUUCCUCCCUUUCCUGGAAAGCAUGCUGCUGGGGACAGAGUUGGGAUGCAUAGCCGGGAAACUCUUCCACUUAGUCUAUACAUCAUUGAGCAUGCAGUGCUGGGGGCUCCUGCUGUAAGCCUCCGUUGUGAACAAAGUCUUGGGAGGAGCCCUGCUUCCCCGGGACGGGAGCAAACCUACCAAGCAUGAGCUGAGGAGAAGCCACCUCCUGGGCGUUCUUCCAGGUCAUCUCCUAUGGCCGGGGUCUCUAAACGUGUUUGACUGCACAUCCCUAUCAGCACAAAAUUUUUGAACAGGAUCUCAUUCUGUUGCCCAGGCUGGAGUGCAACGGCUGGAUCACAGCUCACUGCAGCCUCGACCUCCCAUGCUCAAGUGAUCCUUCUGCCUCAGUCUCCCAAGUAGCUGGAACUGCAGGCGCCCAUCACCACCCCGGGCUAAUUUUUGUAUUUUUUGCAGUAACGGGGUUUCACCAUGUUGCCCAGGCUGAUCUUGAGCUCUAGGACUCAAGUGUUCUGGCCACCUCGGCCUCCCAAAUUGCUGAGAUUACAGGCAUGCACCCAGCCAAUACUUUCCUUUCUUUUCUGGUAAAUUAGUACAUCUCCUAUAUUCUUCCCACCUUCAACAGACUGCUUUGCACACCUCAUGGGUUGCUCACAUUGCACUUUGAGGAUCUUUGCUAUUUACUUUCACAAGGCUCAAUGUUCUAAAAUAGUUCUAAAAUACAGAUCUCUCCCUGCUUAUAACUCUUCAGUGGCACCUCAUUGCUCUCAGGAUAAAGUUUAGACUCUUUAACAUGGACUUCCUGUGGGUUGAAAAUCAGUCUGACUCUGAUCUCACCACUUUACCAGCCCACAGUUUAAAACUCUAGUACUUGCAUUCUUUCUAGGUCAUACGUUUUCUCCCAUCCAAGACUUUGCACAGACUAUAGAAAUCCUUUCUCCCCACACAGUCUUUCCCCCUGACUCUUAUUUUUAGGAAAUUCCCUGGAAUUCUUCCUCUACCUCCUACCUCAUUAGGAUGAAGACCCCACCAUGUUUCUCCAACACAGCAGGCUUUAUUCUUUAUGCAAUACACAUUAUAGUCUAUUGCAAUUGUAAAUUUAGUAUUGAGCUUGCUAAAGGUUGGGAUGGCUUUUUAAAUUAAAUGGCCUGGGUUUAGCGAGGUUAAAAAGGUGAAGAAUUUCCUGAUUUGAGAUGGCAUGCCACACAGCCCAGAGCUUGUGUCUCUUUCCUUACCAAGGAGAUACCAGCUCUGGUUCUGGGAAAUGAGCAGAAUGGGGUGUUCCUCUCCUUCUCCCUGUCUUCUUUCUUCCCAUGGUAUCUAGGCCAGAUCGUGGUCUAGUGGCAGAGUUUUUUGGAUUUGCUGGUAUGAUUCAUGGUAAGAAAUGAAUUUUAUAACAGACUCAGUACACACAUAGACAUAUACACAUGCAGGUGCGCACACACACACAUACAUAUACACACACAUACGUUACACAUGUAUUAGUGUGUUCUCACAUUGCCAUAAAGAGAUACCUGAUACUGGGUAAUUUAUAAAGGAAAGAGGUUUAAUUGGCUCACCGUUCUACAGGCUGUACAGGAAGCAUAGCAGCUUCAGCUUUUGGGGAGGCCUCAGGAAACUUACAAUCAUAGUGGAAGGCAAAUGGGGGAGCAGGAACAUCUUACAUGGCUGGAGAAGGAGGAAGAGGGAGAGGGAGGAGGUACUACACACUUUUAAACAACCAGAUCUCACGAUAACUCACUCACUCACUGUUGCCAUGACAGCACCAAGGGGGAUGGUGUUAAGCCAGGAGAAGCCACCCCCAUGAUCUCAUCACUUCCCACCUGGCCCCACCUACAACACUGGGGAUUACAAUUCGACAUAAGAUUUGGGUGGAGACACAGAUCCAAACCAUAUCAAUACAUAUGUAUGCACACAUCAUUUGUUUACUAUUGUCUCAAGUACGCUUACCUAUUUACCUUAUUUACAGUUGCAACUCACCCCUACCACUCUUGAACCUCCUUAUAUUGCCCUGUUUUUCCUUUUCCCAUUGAACCUUUGAGUAUACUAAAUUCUUGAUUUUACUACGUUUAUUUUUAUGGUCUGGAUCCCUCCGCUAGACUGUUAGCUCCGGAGAACAGGGGUCUUUGUUUUCUUCAUUCAUGUGUCAAGUUCCCCAAACAGUUCCUGGCACAUCAUAGGCCCCCAAAGACUAUUUGUUGUACAAAUGAAUCAGUGAAUUGAAAUAAAU
rnacentral:lncRNA from 10 species